UUGGAGGGCAAGUCUGGUGCCAGCAGCCGCGGUAAUUCCAGCUCCAAUAGCGUAUAUUAAAGUUGUCGCAGUUAAAAAGCUCGUAGUUGAAUUUCGGGAUCAAUUUAUUGGUCGUGCUAUUGUACGUACUGGUAUUAUUGAUUCCUACCUUCUGACGAACCAUGAUGUCAUUAAUUUGGUGUCAUGGGGAAUCAGGACUGUUACUUUGAAAAAAUUAGAGUGUUUAAAGCAGGCUCACGCUUGAAUACAUUAGCAUGGAAUAACGAAAUAGGACGUUUGAUUCUAUUUUGUUGGUUUCUAGGAUCGACGUAAUGAUUAAUAGGGAUAGUUGGGGGCAUUAGUAUUCAAUUGUCAGAGGUGAAAUUCUUGGAUUUAUUGAAGACUAACUACUGCGAAAGCAUUUGCCAAGGAUGUUUUCAUUAAUCAAGAACGAAAGUUAGGGGAUCGAAGACGAUCAGAUACCGUCGUAGUCUUAACCAUAAACUAUGCCGACUAGGGAUCGGAUGAUGUUAAUUUUUUAAUGACUCAUUCGGCGCCUUACGGGAAACCAAAGUGUUUGGGUUC
rnacentral:rRNA from 1 species